AAAUCAUUAACUGGCACAUAGAGAAUAUACAUACAAGUUUGUUGCUAGUGCAAAAGCUCCAAUGUUCUUUCAUUGUAAAUUGUUGAUUUCAAGCCCAUACCAAAUGAUUAUAUCUUUGAUUAUUACUGAUAUAUAACUGGACAUUCAGUUUUAACACACACAUAGAUUAUUAAACUGUACAGUAAGUGUACUAAUUCCUUAAAAAAUAAAGCUAUGUAUUAAGCUUUAUUAUUACAACCACAGAAAAGCUCAAAUCUGCUCUGUACCUACUGAACUAGAAAUGAAAUCUAGAUAGAGGGCAUCAUCUGAAGAUUUGAAAAUGCGCUUGCAUUCCCUUUAAUAAUAGUGAAACUAAUAAAACAUACCAUUUAUCACCUUUGGGCUAGUGUAAAAAAAUCUUAAACAACACCUCUCAAAUAUGUCAAAAUAUGAAAACUUUUUUUGUAUUUCAUUUCUAAUGUGUCUGGUUUUGUCAGACAUGCUAUUGUGUUCUCUGGACACUUCAGACAGCUCUCCUGAUAAUGCAUUACAAUAUCCUGAUGCAAAUUAUUACAUCUAGAAAUAGUUAUGCUGUGUUAUUAGUUGGGGAAAAUAACUUAGCCAGUCAUUGCAUUUUGCAAAGGUAGAGGAAAGUGUUUCCAUAUAAAGGUAGAAAAACAGAAAGUAAAGUGUAUAAUGUUUUUCAAAAGAAAUGUUCAAUUUCUGGCAGGUUUUCUGAUUACUCACUUAGCGAGUCUUAACCCAUUCUAAAGUGGACCAAUAUAAAUAUCUAAAAUAAAAAGAACAGGUUACAGUAAUUGUGUGUCAACAUGUAAACUGGUUUUAAGAGCAGAUACCUCGAGAUUCUUUAGUGUGGUAUUUUUGAGCAUUUUCUUUCUCAGCUGCUUUGUGUUUGAAUCUAUAAAAAAUAAAUCUGAAGCAAGCUGGUUCUGGCUUGCAGUCAUAUUUAAUCAUGACAACUGUUUUUUACAAUAGCAAGAAGAACAGUAACAAAACAGCACAUAAAAAAUACGAUCUAUUUAUUAGAGAGUGUCACAGACUCAAGCACUAUAGUAGUUCAGUAUCAGAUCCUCCUAAAACAGAAUAAAAAUAUACAAGAAAUAAAUUCCACUGAACAGCACUGAAAUUAAACCAGAUGGAUGUCUUUAAAUUAAAUAUUGUGUCAGGUUCUCAAGGCAGUAGCUAAGAGUUUAUAACAAGUCUGCAGAAGAAGGCAGACUGAAGACGCCGUAUCUUAAUAUUCUUAAAAAAACACUCUUCUUUUGCAGCUUUCCAGCUUGCAAGAUUUCCAGAACUUGUCCAAGAAGGCAUUAUCCCUGCUGCAUUCAGCUGAGCACAGGGCAUGAACAGAUCUGACAUCAAACAUCCUCAGCAUCAGCAUAGAUUUAUUCCAGGGAUCCACAACACAGCACCACUCACAAAAGGAAACAACUGAACUUCAGCUGGACAAGAUUGUAAUCAGAAUAUGCUUCAUUGUAAGGGAUAUGCAGACACUUGAGCUUGACUUCAACAUGGAAAAAAUCCAGGAACACAUUUGGAAACAAAAAGGCCAUGUUGCAAAAAGACCUAGCUCCAAGACAGAAAACAAUUAGGACUACCAAGUAGCAUGUUGUAUCCACUGCUAAUUUAGUAAUUUGCAAGAAACAAACAAAAAUAACACCUUGUCUUGUAUCAAUUUUUUUCUAAAGAGGACUGGCAUCAAACCACUGAAGAUGAAGAACUUUGCUUUUCAUUUUUUACAAUAUCAUUGCCUAUAAACCUUAAUGCACAAGUACUAACUGCUUUAAAUGAUCAGUGUUUUCUUCAACAUCUCAGGUGACUGUGACAUCAUCACUUGAUUUGAUUGUACCUAUACAGCUAGAAUGGUGUGACAUAAUAAUUAACAUGUGCUAAAGAAUGCCCACACAACAUUUCAUCACAAUUGUAAACACAACAAGAAACGUAUGGGUAAAUGUAGGUUGUAUUGUCCCUCCACUUUUUUACUACACAGGAAUGAUAACUCAAUUAGUUGUUUUAAACAUUGUUCUAUGGUUUUAUUCUUUAUAAGCAAUAUUUCAUUGUGAUGUCACUGUCAGUUCCAUUUGCAAUUUGAUUCCAAGUCUGAGACCCUGAAUUCCUUUGUGGAAUCAAACCUUGGCAAACCUUAGGUUGUCUGGCAUGUGAAAAAGCCCUGGUGAAGUGAGGUUGAGAAGACUGAGGAAAACAUAGGGUUGGGUCAAUACCAGGACCUCUUUCUCCACACAAACUGUGUGCUGAAUAUUACAGCUGCCCAGUUACACUGAAGGAAGCUUUUCUGGUAAGUGAGGAUUAAAUUAUUUUCCCCAACGAAUGGUGCAAGCUUCUAAAUCAGUCCAAAAGAAGAUAAUUCAAUAACAGUUAAAUAAUUCAAGGCUGAUGAUGGAAAUCAAAAGAUUAAUUAUUUUACAGCUCUAUUUAUUGUUCAAUUUUGAGGUGAAUUAUUUCUGAAGCAAAACAUCAACUACUUUGUAUUCAUGGAAAACAAGAUGCACAGUGAAUAUACAUCUACAAUUCCAUGACUAUCACAUUUAUCUUAAAAAUACUUUGAAAUGGUUACUCUACUGCAAACACACAUUUUCAAAUUUAUUUAAAAAGCUGUAGAUAGCUGUAGUACCUGUAGAUAUAUGAAAUGCAUGAUUUGAUUAUGGGUAAAGGGUUCAUUCAUACUGUGACAUUUUCUUACCUGUUUUAAUAUAUUUUUUACAAAGUGACAUAUUCUGUACCAAUCUCCACUUGAAUUCUACGAUCCCUCUAUUAUGCUUUAUAUGUAGAUAUUUCUGACAGGCUGAUCAAUUUAAAGACACUCACUUGGAUCAACAGUGGGACAUACAAGGUUUCUGACAGUUACCGUGCUAAAUCCCUCCUUUACUGUAACUGCAAAUUAGCUUGACGCCAGUGAUGUCAUAAUCCAGGUUGUCACAAACUCAGGCUCUGUAGCAUCCAACAAAGAUUCAAAUCCUUUGUAGAUUGAGCUGGGACUAUAAAGUUUGCCUUAUAGCAGUCUGUGAUUAAUAAUUCUCUGUACCGAGACCAUGGAAACAAGAUUAUCUUGUUGACAAAACCUUGUUUCCAUGUGCCUACCUAUAAGCGAUCAGGUUUCAAGUGAACUGGAUCUGAAAUGCAGAUCAGGAAGGAAAAAAAUCUGCUAUCAAACUGUACUUUUGGAAAAGCAUGAAUGCAACUGGACAUUGAGACACACAGGUCAAUUCAAUUUAUAAAAACAAUGGCAAGUUUAAACACCUCCAAGUAAUUUAAAUGUACAUUUGUAGUAAUUUGUGUACAAAGGUCAGAAAAUUAAAGAACUGAAAGUGCACAUGAGUCCCUGUCAUGCAUUCCUGUCUAUUUUUAUGAUUUAAAAGAACAGUGGUAUUGUAAUUAAAUACAAAUUAA